GUGAAACCUCAUCUCUACUAAAAAUACAAAAAUCAGUUGUGUAUGGUGGUGUGUGCCUGUAAUCCCAGCUACUCAAGAGGCUGAGGCAUGAGAAUCGCUUGAACUUGGGAGGCAGAGGUUGCGGUGAGCCGAGAUCGCGACACUGCACUCCAGCCUGGGCGAAAGAGCAAAACUCUGUCUCCAAAAAAAACAAAAAAACAAAAAACAAAAAAACAAAAAAAACCCAAUACAGGGCAGGGCAUGUUCUUUGAUCAUAGAGCAGUAAGUUAAAAAUCAAUAAUCAUUAGAUAUCUAGGAAAACCCAAACACUAGAUAAACUUUUAAGUAAUUCAUGGAUCAAAGAAGAAAUCAGAAAACAAAUUAACACGGAUUAGUGGACAUUUAAAGAUUUAUAUACUCAUGUUAUAAAGAAAGCAGGAUUAAAAUAAAUGAUUUAAGAUUCCACUUUAAAGGGUUUGAAAAAGAACAAAGAGGCCAGACACAGUGGCUCACACCUGUAAUCCCAGCACUUUGAGAGGCUGAGGCAGGUGGCUCUCCUGAGGUCAGGAGUUGGAGAACAGCCUAGCCAACAUGGCAAAACCCCAUCUCUACUAAAAAUACAAAAAUUAGCAGGGCGGGUUGGGGCACGCCUGUAAUCCCAGGCUACUUGGGAGGCUACUUGGGAGGCAGAGGCACAAAAAUCUAUUGAACCCAGGAGGCAGAGGCUGCAGUGAGCUGAGAUCACACCACUGCACUCCAGCCUGGGCGACAGAGUGAGACUCUGUCUCAAAAAAAAGAAAAAGAACAAAGAAAAGCUAAACUAAGUAGAGGGAAGGAAACG
rnacentral:lncRNA from 1 species